rnacentral:sRNA from 1 species
AAGGUUCCAGAGGGAACAUUCUCUAAUUCCAGCCAGCUGGGGAAACGCCCAGUGCCUGCGCUCUUUUCCGGCUGGAGCAUCCUGGCGCCCAGUUGAGGGAGGAAGGGAAAUGGGAAGGGUUUGGGC